ACUUACUUACAAAAGAUGAGGAAAAGGCUAAGGUACUUAAAGCCUUCUUUGCCUCACUCUUUUGCAGCAAGACCAGUUGUUCUCUGGGUACUCAGCCCCCUGAGCU